rnacentral:misc_RNA from 1 species
AAAAAAUUAACACCUCAUCCUCUUCAAUUCUCUUCUCUCAUCGCCUCUCUUUCUCUCUCUACGCUGCUACACGCAAUUCGUCCGCCAUCUGCCGCCGUUCUCCGCCCUACCUCAUGACCUCUACCAUCUCUGCCUCCUCCCCUUGGCCCGAAGGCCCUUUCGUUUCCCCUCCUAUGUCGGAAAAUUCUCCUGAUUCCGGUGAUCGUUCCUCUCUCUCUGACCUCUCCGAUAUCUCAGCUGCCGUAACUGACGUCGUUGAUGAUGAACGCGGUUCUCAAACCUCGUUUACCUCUCCCAUUAAUGCACCCGCCACUAGCGUACAGAACGUGAACCCUAGCCCUAAUUCUAUUUCUCUUCCCGUUGAUUCAUCUACUCCCAAUGUCCUUUACCUAUCCUUCAACCAGGAUUACGGAUGCUUCGCGGCAGGCACCGAUCGAGGGUUCCGGAUCUACAACUGUGAUCCGCUCCGUGAGAUUUUCCGCCGCGAUUUUACCGGCAAUUCUAAUGGUGGAGGUGGAAUUGGCGUUGUUCAGAUGCUUUUUCGGUGCAAUAUUUUGGCGUUGGUUGGUGGAGGUCCGGAGCCUCAAUAUCCCUUAAAUAAGGUGAUGAUAUGGGAUGAUCAUCAAUCUAGGUGCAUCGGCGAGCUAUCGUUUCGAUCUGAGGUGAAAUCUGUGAGGCUGAGAAGGGAUAGAAUUGUGGUUGUUUUGGCCCAGAAGAUAUUUGUUUACAACUUCUCGGAUUUGAAACUGUUACAUCAGAUUGAGACAGUGGCGAACCCCAAGGGUUUGUGUGAGGUGUCACAGGUAUCGGGAUCAAUGGUUCUGGUUUGUCCGGGUCUUCAGAAGGGUCAGGUGAGAGUGGAACAUUAUGCUUCUAAGAGGACCAAGUUUAUAAUGGCACAUGACUCAAGGAUUGUGUGCUUUGCGCUUACAAAUGAUGGGAGGUUGUUGGCUACUUCUAGCAGUAAAGGGACUCUUGUCAGAAUAUAUAAUACUUUAGAUGGAUCUUUGGUCCAAGAGGUCAGAAGAGGCGCAGAUAGAGCAGAAAUCUAUAGCCUUGCUUUUUCUCCAACUGCACAAUGGCUAGCUGUUUCCAGUGAUAAAGGAACUGUCCAUGUGUUCAAUCUAAAGGUUGAUUCAGCAGCUUUAGGAGUUGAUAGACCAAGAGGGGCAUCUGAGUCAAAUGCUACAUCUCCAUCAGCUGUGUCUCAUCUCUCCUUCAUAAGAGGUGUGCUACCAAAGUAUUUCAGCUCUGAGUGGUCUGUGGCGCAGUUCCGCUUGCAAGAAGGUCUGCAGCACAUUGUGGCCUUCGGUCACCAAAAGAAUACGGUUGUGAUUCUUGGCAUGGAUGGAAGUUUCUACCGAUGCCAGUAUGAUGCAGCAACUGGUGGGGAGAUGACCCUGUUGGAACAUCAUAGUUUCUUGAAGUCUGAGGAGAACUUCUAACUUGGGAAGCUCGCUGGAUGCAUGCUACCCUUCUUGUGUGGCUUUUGUUUUUACUGUAUCUAUUUAUAAUUUCGCAGGUGGACAUGGUAGUGACUGUAUAUAAACAUAAUCCAAAAAAGAUGUACAUAUAUAUAAAAGAUGAGAACUGGCGGCUUUUGUUACAACCUUCUGGCUGUAUUUAGGUUACUACUGUGUCGUCGUAGUACACUGAAGUAUUGUUAUGGACAUGCUUG